rnacentral:rRNA from 1 species
UAAUACGGAGGAUGCAAGCGUUAUCCGGAUUCAUUGGGUUUAAAGGGUGCGCAGGCGGAACGAUAAGUCAGUGGUGAAAUCCUACAGCUCAACUGUAGAACUGCCGUUGAUACUGUCGUUCUUGAGUACAGUUGAAGUGGGCGGAAUGUAUCAUGUAGCGGUGAAAUGCAUAGAUAUGAUACAGAACUCCGAUAGCGAAGGCAGCUCACUAAACUGACACUGACGCUCAGGCACGAAAGCGUGGGGAGCAAACAGGAUUAGAUACCCUGGUAGUCCACGCCGUAAACGAUGAUCACUCGUUGUUGGCAAUACAUGGUCAGCGACUGAGCGAAAGCAUUAAGUGAUCCACCUGGGGAGUACGCUCGCAAGAGUG